rnacentral:rRNA from 1 species
GACGAACGCUGGCGGCGUGCUUAACACAUGCAAGUCGAACGGUGAAGCGCCUUCCUUUUUGGUGGGUGUGGAUGAGUGGCGAACGGGUGAGUAACACGUGAGUAACCUGCCCCCUUCUUCUGGAUAACCGCAUGAAAGUGUGGCUAAUACGGGAUAUUCUGGGUCUGUCGCAUGAUGGGUCUGGGAAAGAUAUUGUUUCGGUGGGGGAUGGGCUCGCGGCCUAUCAGCUUGUUGGUGGGGUGAUGGCCUACCAAGGCGGUGACGGGUAGCCGGCCUGAGAGGGUGGACGGUCAUACUGGGACGGCGACACGGACCAGACUCCUACGGGAGGCAGCAGGGGGGAAUAGUGAACAAUGGGCGCAAGCCUGAUGCAGCGACGCCGCGGGAGGGAUGGAGGCCUUCGGGUUGUGAACCUCUUUCGCCAGUGAAGCAGGCCUGCCUCGUUUGUGGGUGGGUUGACGGUAGCUGGAGAAGAAGCGCCGGCUAACUACGUG